GACGAACCGUGCGAACGUUGUUCGGAAUCACUGGGCUUAAAGGGCGCGUAGGCGGGCGAUCAAGUCAGGGGUGAAAGCCCCCAGCUCAACUGGGGAAGUGCCUUUGAUACUGGUCGUCUCGAGGGAGGUAGGGGCGUGCGGAACUUCCGGUGGAGCGGUGAAAUGCGUAGAUAUCGGAAGGAACGUCGGUGGCGAAAGCGGCGCGCUGGACCUCUUCUGACGCUGAGGCGCGAAAGCCAGGGGAGCGAACGGG
rnacentral:rRNA from 1 species